rnacentral:tRNA from 1 species
AUUUAAAUAGUUUAAUUAAAAUUUUGAUUUGUGGAAUCAAUGAUAUAAAUAUUUUAUUUUAAAUA